CACGUAGGGUGCGAGCGUUGUCCGGAAUUACUGGGCGUAAAGCGCACGCAGGCGGUCUUUUAAGUUUGACGUGAAAGCUCCCGGCUUAACUGGGAGAGGUCGUUGAAGACUGGAAGACUUGAGGCAAUGAGAGGGGUGUAGAAUUCCCGGUGUAGUGGUGGAAUGCGUAGAUAUCGGGGGGAAUACCAGUGGCGAAAGCGGCACCCUAGCGUUAGCCUGACGCUCAUGUGCGAAAGCGUGGGGAGCGAACGGG
rnacentral:rRNA from 1 species